UACGGAGGGUGCAAGCGUUAUCCGGAAUCACUGGGCGUAAAGGGCGCGUAGGUGGUCUGUUAAGUCUGGCGUUAAAGCCUGGGGCUCAACCCCAGAUCAGCGUUGGAUACUGGCAGGCUAGACGGUUGGAGAGGCGAGUGGAAUUACCAGUGUAGCGGUGGAAUGCGUAGAUACUGGUAGGAACACCCAUUGCGAAGGCAGCUCGCUGGACAACACGUGACGCUGAGGCGCGAAAGUGUGGGGAGCAAACCGGAUUAGAUAU
rnacentral:rRNA from 1 species